rnacentral:lncRNA from 1 species
AUGGGUGUCUCUAAUUAUGUUGCGCUGGUGGUUGUUCUUCUAGUUGCAGCUGCCAUGUUCACCGUGCAGCUAGGUCUGGUCACAGCAGCAGCAGCAGGUAUCUGUCAAUAUUUCUCAUUUAAUUUAAUUUGGUGCAUAUAUCUGAUUCUAUAUAUUAACUCAUUAGUGUUGCAUUGCAUUGCUUGCAGUUGCAGAUGAUAAGAAUGUUAUUAUAAUUAAUAGGGAACUGAGAGAACGGCGACCACCUCCAUUUCGUCCAAAAUCACCACUUGCAAACCAACAACCAGGCAUGAGACUUCCUGCUCCCGAUCCUCCACCUCCUCCUCCUCCUCCCCCGCCCUCGCUUCCAAACAAC